GAGUUUGAUUCUGGCUCAGAACGAACGCUGGCGGCGCGUCUUAAGCAUGCAAGUCGAACGGUAAGGGAGAGCUUGCUCUCCCCUAGAGUGGCGGACUGGUGAGUAACGCGUGGGUGACCUGCCCUGAAGAUGGGGAUAGCUAGUAGAAAUAUUAGAUAAUACCGAAUGUGCUCAUUUACAUAAAGGUAAAUGAGGAAAGGAGCUACGGCUCCGCUUCAGGAUGGGCCCGCGUCCCAUUAGCUGGUUGGUGAGGUAAAGGCCCACCAAGGCAACGAUGGGUAUCCGGCCUGAGAGGGUGAACGGACACAUUGGGACUGAGAUACGGCCCAAACUCCUACGGGAGGCAGCAGCUAAGAAUCUUCCGCAAUGGACGAAAGUCUGACGGAGCGACGCCGUGUGAAUGAAGAAGGCUGAAAGGUUGUAAAAUUCUUUUGCAGAUGAAGAAUAAAACACAGGAGGGAAUG
rnacentral:rRNA from 1 species